rnacentral:rRNA from 1 species
UUUCGCAAUGCCCGAAAGGGUGACGAAGCGACGCCGCGUGGGUGAGGAAGGCCUUCGGGUUGUAAAGCCCCGUCAGGAGUUAUGAAAUGUAAGUGCGCUAAUAUCGUGCUUAUUUGACAAAGGCUCCAAAGGAAGCCACGGCUAACUCUGUGCCAGCAGCCGCGGUAAUACAGAGGUGGCGAGCGUUGUUCGGAAUUAUUGGGCGUAAAGAGCACGUAGGUGGGUUUGCAAGUCAGAUGUGAAAGCCUUCUGUUCAACGGAAGAAUUGCAUCUGAAACUGCUAAUCUUGAGUAUAGGAGGGGAGAAUGGAACUUCUGGUGGAGCGGUGAAAUGCGUAGAUAUCAGAAGGAACGCCGGCGGCGAAAGCGAUUCUCUGGCCUAUUACUGACACUCAGUGUGCGAAAGCUAGGGGAGCAAACGGGAUUAGAUACCCCGGUAGUCCUAGCCGUAAACGAUGGGCACUAAGUAGAGGGGUUUUA